CCUGGCUCAGGAUGAACGCUAGCUACAGGCUUAACACAUGCAAGUCGAGGGGCAGCAUGGUCUUAGCUUGCUAAGGCCGAUGGCGACCGGCGCACGGGUGAGUAACACGUAUCCAACCUGCCGUCUACUCUUGGACAGCCUUCUGAAAGGAAGAUUAAUACAAGAUGGCAUCAUGAGUCCGCAUGUUCACAUGAUUAAAGGUAUUCCGGUAGACGAUGGGGAUGCGUUCCAUUAGAUAGUAGGCGGGGUAACGGCCCACCUAGUCUUCGAUGGAUAGGGGUUCUGAGAGGAAGGUCCCCCACAUUGGAACUGAGACACGGUCCAAACUCCUACGGGAGGCAGCAGUGAGGAAUAUUGGUCAAUGGGCGAGAGCCUGAACCAGCCAAGUAGCGUGAAGGAUGACUGCCCUAUGGGUUGUAAACUUCUUUUAUAAAGGAAUAAAGUCGGGUAUGGAUACCCGUUUGCAUGUACUUUAUGAAUAAGGAUCGGCUAACUCCGUGCCAGCAGCCGCGGUAAUACGGAGGAUCCGAGCGUUAUCCGGAUUUAUUGGGUUUAAAGGGAGCGUAGAUGGAUGUUUAAGUCAGUUGUGAAAGUUUGCGGCUCAACCGUAAAAUUGCAGUUGAUACUGGAUAUCUUGAGUGCAGUUGAGGCAGGCGGAAUUCGUGGUGUAGCGGUGAAAUGCUUAGAUAUCACGAAGAACUCCGAUUGCGAAGGCAGCCUGCUAAGCUGCAACUGACAUUGAGGCUCGAAAGUGUGGGUAUCAAACAGGAUUAGAUACCCUGGUAGUCCACACGGUAAACGAUGAAUACUCGCUGUUUGCGAUAUACGGCAAGCGGCCAAGCGAAAGCGUUAAGUAUUCCACCUGGGGAGUACGCCGGCAACGGUGAAACUCAAAGGAAUUGACGGGGGCCCGCACAAGCGGAGGAACAUGUGGUUUAAUUCGAUGAUACGCGAGGAACCUUACCCGGGCUUAAAUUGCAGAUGAAUUACGGUGAAAGCCGUAAGCCGCAAGGCAUCUGUGAAGGUGCUGCAUGGUUGUCGUCAGCUCGUGCCGUGAGGUGUCGGCUUAAGUGCCAUAACGAGCGCAACCCUUGUUGUCAGUUACUAACAGGUUCCGCUGAGGACUCUGACAAGACUGCCAUCGUAAGAUGUGAGGAAGGUGGGGAUGACGUCAAAUCAGCACGGCCCUUACGUCCGGGGCUACACACGUGUUACAAUGGGGGGUACAGAGGGCCGCUACCACGCGAGUGGAUGCCAAUCCCCAAAACCUCUCUCAGUUCGGACUGGAGUCUGCAACCCGACUCCACGAAGCUGGAUUCGCUAGUAAUCGCGCAUCAGCCACAACGCGGUGAAUACGUUCCCGGGC
rnacentral:rRNA from 1 species